GGUAGUCCGAGUGCAGUGGUAUUCCCAACUAACUGAUCACAACCAUUUACAGAUUUAUUUGUUCCUUUUCCACUCUUACUGCUUCGCUUGACUAGCCUUUU
rnacentral:Y_RNA from 1 species